ensembl:lncRNA
GUGUGUGUGUGUGUGUGUGUUAAUAACCGAUACCUUACACCCAAUAUUGAGUUAUUCCAACAAACCCCAUGUGUUUUCACCCCACUCAGCCCUAAAGGAAUAUAGCAUGCAACCCUAAGAGCAUUCUAUUCCCUAUGUAGUGCACUACCUUUGUCCAGAUCCCCUAUGGGCCCUGGUCACUAAAUAGGGAAUAGGGUGCCAUUUGGGACACAAAUUUAUAUGACCGGUAUGUACAAUAUGAGUUGGUGUAUAAUCUAACAGAGGUCUGAGUUGGUGUGUAAUCUAACAGAGGUCUGAGUUGGUGUAUAAUCUAAUAGAGGUCUGAGUUGGUGUAUAAUCUAACAGAGGUCUGAGUUGGUGUAUAAUCUAACAGAGGUCUGAGUUGGUGUAUAAUCUAACAGAGGUCUGAGAUGGUGUAUAAUCUGACAGGGGAAGCUUGGCUGUGUGUUGUACCUCGGCCAGGACUAGAUCACAGGGGAAGCUUGGCUGUGUGUUGUACCUCGGCCAGGACUAGAUCACAAGGGAAGCUUGGCUGUAUGUUGUACCUCGGCCAGGACUUGACUGUGUGUUGUAACUUGGCCAGGACUAGAUCAUAGGGGAAGCUUGGCUGUGUGUUGUACCUUGUGUCAUGCCUGCUCCCGCUCCUCCUCCUUGGUGCUCAAGGGCGCCAGGCUGCCCAUCAUUACUCACACCUGUCACCAUCGUUACGCACAUCAGCGCUUCAUUGGACUCACAUGGACUCCUUCACUUUGUUGAUUGCCUCCCCUAUAUCUGUCUAUUCCUCAGUUUGAUCCCCGUGUCUGCAUUGAUGUUGUUGUCCAGACGCCGUUCUGAGUUUUCUUUCAUGUCUGUUAUUUAUUCAAAUGUUCACUCCCUGUACUUGCUUCUCGUCUCCCAGCAUCUGUCCUUACAGAAUGCUGACACCAAUAUUGGAAGCAUCAGGGAGUUUUUUAAGUUUUUUUUUUAGGUUCAGGGAAUGUGGCGGAAGGCUUGGCUCUGUGUUGGGACUGAGGGAAUAGGAAUGAGGCUUGGCUAGGACUGGAUCUCAGGCUGAAUGUGGUGUGGACUAAGGCUUGGCUAGGAGUGGGUUGUCUGUUGGGAAUGUGGUGUAAGCCUUGGACUGGAUCACAGGUUGCUGUUUGGUUACGACUUGAUCAUGUGUUGGGAAUGUGGCGUAAGGUUAUGGAAGGUUUGGCUAUGACUGGAUUGCAGCCUGCUGCUAAGGAGACAGCAUUUUAGAGAACAGCUAAGAGAAGCAUAGAGAACAGCUUAGAGAAGAGAACUGCUAAGAGAAGCCUAGAGAACAGCUUAGAGAAGCAUAGAGAACAGCUAAGAGAAGCACAGAGAACAGCUUAGAGAAGCAUAGAGAACAGCUGAGAGAAACAUAGAGAACAGCUUAGAGAAGCAUAGAGAACAGCUAAGAGAAGCCUAGAGAACAGCUUAGAGAAGCACAGAGAACAAGCUUAAAGAAGCAUAGAGAACAGCAAAGAGAACAAUAGAGAACAGCUUAGAGAAGCACAGAGAACAAGCUUAAAGAAGCAUAGAGAACAGCAAAGAGAAGAAUAGAGAACAGCUUAGAGAAGCAUAGAGAACAGCUUAGAGAAGCAUAGAGAACAGCUAAGAGAAGCACAGACAACAAGCUUAAAGAAGCAUAGAGAACAGCUAAGAGAAGCCUAGAGAACAGCUUAGAGAAGCACAGAGAACAAGCUUAAAGACGCAUAGAGAACAGCAAAGAGAAGAAUAGAGAACAGCUUAGAGAAGCAUAGAGAACAGCUAAGAGAAGCAUAGAGAACAGCUUAGAGAAGCAUAGAGAACAGCUAAGAGAUUCCUAGAGAACAGCUUAGAGAAGAGAACUGCGAAGAGAAGCAUAGAGAACAGCUUAGAGAAGCAUAGAGAACAGCUGAGAGAAGCACAGAGAACAGCUUAGACAAGAGAACUGCUAAGAGAAGCACAGAGAACAGCUUAGAGAAGAGAACUGCUAAGAGAAGCAUAGAGAACAGCUUAGAGAAGCAUAGAGAACAGCUGAGAGAAACACAGAGAACAGCUUAGAGAAGUGUAGAGAAGAGCUUAGAGAAGAGAACUGCUAAGAGAAGCACAGAGAACAGCUUGGAGAAGAGAACCGCUAAGAGAAGCACAGAGAACAGCAAAGAGAAACCUAGAGAACAGCUGAGAGAAACAUAGAGAACAGCUUAGAGAAGCAUAGAGAACAGCUAAGAGAAGCCUGGAGAACAGCUAAGAGAAGAAUAAAGAACAGCUAAGAGAAGGGAACUGCUAAGAGAAGCAUAGAGAACAGCUUAGAGAAGGGAACUGCUAAGAGAAGCACAGAGAACAGCUUAGAGAAGAGAACUGCAAAGAGAAGCAUGGAGAACAGCUUAGAGAAGGAUAGAGAACAGCUGAGCGAAACAUAGAGAACAGCUUAAAGAAGCACAGAUUACAGCUGAGAGAAAAAUAGAGAACAGCUUAGAGAAGCAUAGAGAACAGUUUAGAGAAGCAUAAAGAACAGCUUAGAGAAGCACAGAGAACAGCUUAGAGAAGAGAACUGCUAAGAGAAGCAUAGAGAACAGCUAAGAGAAGCACAGAGAACAGCUUAGAUAAGAGAACUGCUUAAAGAAGUGUAGAGAACAGCCAAGAGAAGCAUAGAGAACAGCUUAGAGAAGCAUAGAGAACAACUUAGAGAAGCAUAGAGAACAGCUGAGAGAAACAUAGAGAACAGCUUAAAGAAGCGUAGAGAACAGCCAAGAGAAGCAGAGAGAACAGCUUAGAGAAACAUAGAGAACAGCUUAGAGAAGCAUAGAGAACAGCCAAGAGAAGCAUAGAGAACAGCUUAGAGAAGCAUAGAAAAAGCUAAGAGAAGCACAGAGAACAGCUUAGAUAAGAGAACUGCUAAGAGAAGCACAGAGAACAGCUUAAAGAAGAAUAGAGAACAGCUGAGAGAAACACAGAGAACAGCUUAAAGAAGCGUAGAGAACAGCCAAGAGAAACACAGAGAACAGCUUAGAGAAGCAUAGAGAACAGC